AUUGAACGCUGGCGGCAGGCUUAACACAUGCAAGUCGAGCGGGGUGAUGUAGCUUGCUACAUUACCUAGCGGCGGACGGGUGAGUAAUGCUUAGGAAUCUGCCUAUUAGUGGGGGACAACAUUCCGAAAGGAAUGCUAAUACCGCAUACGCCCUACGGGGGAAAGCAGGGGAUCUUCGGACCUUGCGCUAAUAGAUGAGCCUAAGUCAGAUUAGCUAGUUGGUGGGGUAAAGGCCUACCAAGGCGACGAUCUGUAGCGGGUCUGAGAGGAUGAUCCGCCACACUGGGACUGAGACACGGCCCAGACUCCUACGGGAGGCAGCAGUGGGGAAUAUUAGACAAUGGGCGCAAGCCUGAUCCAGCCAUGCCGCGUGUGUGAAGAAGGCCUUUUGGUUGUAAAGCACUUUAAGCGAGGAGGAGGCUACCUGGAUUAAUACUCUGGGAUAGUGGACGUUACUCGCAGAAUAAGCACCGGCUAACUCUGUG
rnacentral:rRNA from 1 species